rnacentral:rRNA from 1 species
UACGUAGGGUCCGAGCGUUGUCCGGAAUUAUUGGGCGUAAAGAGCUCGUAGGCGGUUUGUCGCGUCUGCUGUGAAAACUCAGGGCUUAACCCCUGAGCCUGCAGUGGGUACGGGCAGACUAGAGUGUGGUAGGGGAGAUCGGAAUUCCUGGUGUAGCGGUGGAAUGCGCAGAUAUCAGGAGGAACACCGGUGGCGAAGGCGGAUCUCUGGGCCAUAACUGACGCUGAGGAGCGAAAGCGUGGGGAGCGAACGGA